rnacentral:rRNA from 1 species
AGUGAACGCUGGCGGUAGGCCUAACACAUGCAAGUCGAACGGCAGCACAGUAAGAGCUUGCUCUUACGGGUGGCGGGUGGCGGACGGGUGAGGAAUACAGCGGAAUCUACUUUUUCGUGGGGGAUAACGUCGGGAAACUUACGCUAAUACCGCAUACGACCUACGGGUGAAAGCAGGGGAUUUUGGGACCUUGCGCGAUUGAAUGAGCUGAUGUCGGAUUAGCUAGUUGGCGGGGUAAAGGCCCACCAAGGCGACGGUCCGUAGCUGGUCUGAGAGGAUGAUCAGCCACACUGGAACUGAGACACGGUCCAGACUCCUACGGGAGGCAGCAGUGGGGAAUAUUGGACAAUGGGCGCAAGCCUGAUCCAGCCAUGCCGCGUGGGGGAAGAAGGCCUUCGGGUUGUAAAGCGCUUUUGUUGGGAAAGAAAAGCAGCAGGUUAAUACCCCGCUGUUCUGACGGUACCCAAAGAAUAAGCACCGGCUAACUACGUG